GGACUACUGGGGUAUCUAAUCCUGUUUGCUCCCCACGCUUUCGCGUCUCAGCGUCAGUCACCGUCCAGAGGGCCGCCUUCGCCACCGGUGUUCCUCCUGAUAUCUACGCAUUUCACCGCUACACCAGGAAUUCCACCCUCCUCUCCGGGACUCGAGCCCAUCAGUUUCCAAUGCACUUCCGGGGGUGAGCCCCGGGCUUUCACAUCAGACUUAAUGGGCCGCCUACACGCGCUUUACGCCCAGUGAUUCCGAACAACGCUAGCACCCUCCGUAUUACCGCGGCUGCUGGCAC
rnacentral:rRNA from 1 species